CGUUAAAAGAGGGGCCACUUUGGGGUAGUCAAGUGCGCGUUCAGCCCCGCCAAAACGUACCAAAACGUUUAUUUAACUGAAACGGUGGUGCGUUUAACACCCUGUUGUGUGCACCUUCCCAAUGACUUUUAAUUAUCAGCACCUAAAAUAUACGUCGCUGCUGAUUGGAUGAGUAACACUUCCGACACACACCAAAACGAGAGAAAACGUAGUUCACGCAUGGACACGCACACCGUUUCGAGAGUGAACGUGCCUCAGAGUUGGGAAGUGGUCGCUGACCGCCCCCCCCCAACUCACCUUUUAGAGACCAGUAGUCUGCAGCUGAGUGUCAGACGGUGAAGAAAGUAGGAAGAAGGAUAGGUGUGUGCCCUCUGUACCUGCUCAAUAUGUUUAAAGUCGUUUCCUCUCUAAGUGGCCGCUGUGCAGUUUUAAAAGGACAGUCCUGCUCUCCCCCCGGUUGUGUCAAAUUCCACUUGGCCAAUGGGGCAGUAUGUCAGAAAUCCACCUUCAGACACCCUCCCACAGACAUCCCAGACAUGCCCCCAUGCAAUUUCAAACCAGAAGAAUACACGGGUAUGUCCAAAGAGCGGAUGAUGGAAAUCCGCAGGAAGAGCUGCAACCCCAUGAUCAUGAAGGUUACCUACUAUAAGAAACCCGUGUUCAUCCACCAGGGACACAUGCAGUGGCUGUGGGAUGUGGACGGGAAGCGAUAUCUGGAUCUAUUUGCUGGUGUGGCUACUGUUAGUGUGGGCCACUGCCACCCGAAGGUGACAGCAGCCGCAGAGCAGCAGUUGAAGAGACUGUGGCAUACUACAAACAUCUACGUCUAUCCUCCACUCCAUGAGUAUUGUGAGAAACUAGCUUCCUACUUACCGGAUCCUCUCAAGGUGGUAUAUCUAACCAACAGCGGCUCAGAGGCCAAUGACCUGGCUAUGUUGAUGGCUCGACUUUACACAGGCAACUUCGACAUCAUCACUUUCAGAGGAUCAUACCACGGUGGCAGCCCACAGACCAUGGGUCUUACUUCCAACGCAGCAUAUAAAUACCCCAUUGCCAAUGGUUUAGGCUGCACAAAUACCAUGUGUCCUGAUGUGUUCAGAGGUCCGUGGGGAGGAAGCCACUGCAGGGACUCUCCUGUGCAGACCAUCAGAGAAUGUAGCUGCGCCCAAGGAUAUUGCAUGGCAAAUGACCAAUACAUUGGACAGCUCAAAGAGACAUUUGCUACUAGUGUACCAAGUCAAAUUGCUGCUUUCUUUGGAGAGCCUAUUCAGGGAGUCGGAGGAGCUGUGCAGUACCCUAAAAACUACCUCAAGGAGGCUUACACACUCGUGAGAGAGAGAGGAGGCGUCUGCAUUGCUGAUGAGCUUAUUUUGCAAGAAAAGGAAGUCUGCAGGUCCAGACUGGAUUUGGGCGAACAGGAAGCCACUUCUGGGGUUUCCAAGGUCAUGAUGUCAUUCCUGAUAUGGUUACUAUGGCGAAGGGCAUCGGUAAUGGAUUCCCAAUGGGAGCUGUGGUUACCACACCAGAAAUUGCAGCCUCAUUUACUAAGGGGGUUCACUUCAACACCUUUGGAGGAAAUCCUGUGGCUUGUGCCAUUGCUUCAUCUGUGCUUGACACUAUUAAAGAAGACGGCGCGCAGCAGAUCAGUCUCGAUGUGGGCACCUAUUUGAUGACAGAACUGGCAAAACUCAGAGACAAGUAUGAGAUAAUCGGUGAUGUCCGUGGAAAAGGCCUGCAGAUUGGUGUGGAAAUGGUCAAUGACAAGGCCAGCAGAGAGCCGCUGCCUCCGGCGGCAAUGAGUGAGAUCUUUGAGGACAUAAAGGACAUGGGAGUCCUGAUAGGGAAAGGAGGAGUCUAUGGACAGACCUUUCGCAUCAAACCCCCAAUGUGCAUCACGAUGGAAGACGCAGAUUUCUUCCUAGCAAUUUUUAACAAGUCCAUCCACAAUUACAUGGAAAGAAGAUGAAGGAUUGCUUGAUGCCAAGGACCAAAUCUGGAACCCCCCUCAGCAGUGGAUUGCAUUUUAUAUAUCCUUUAAAAUGACAGUAUCAAUCAUUUUGACCUUCUGAGGAAGACUACUUCUGUUAUUGCCUUUGCAUAGCACUUGUAAAAGGGAACUUUAUUAACUAUGUUUAACUACGUUGUAAUUUGAAUCACUUACCGUACCUCACUCGUUUUAAUGAGAAAAGAAUCGUGUACAAGACCUAAACUUGAAGUUCAUUAAGAUUGUUUUGGAUCUGCUAAAUCAUGCUUGGAUGUAACGUAUGAGUGUAAUUUCUGAACACAUGAUUUUUUGCUAAAUUAUAGAUGUAAAUAUAAUAAUAAUAAUAAUAAAUCUGUAAGCUUG